rnacentral:rRNA from 1 species
UACGAAGGGGGCUAGCGUUGUUCGGAAUUACUGGGCGUAAAGCGCGCGCAGGCGGUCUUCCAAGUCAGUGGUGAAAGCCCGGAGCUCAACUCCGGAACUGCCAUUGAAACUGUGAGACUUGAGGAUGAGAGAGGUGAGUGGAAUUCCCGAGUGUAGAGGUGAAAUUCGUAGAUAUUGGGAAGAACACCGGUGGCGAAGGCGGCUCACUGGCUCAUUUCUGACGCUCAGGCGCGACAGCGUGGGGAUCAAACAGG